GCCAGCCCGCUCAGAAACUCAAAUGAAUUGACGGGGCCCGCACAAGCGGAGGAGCAUGUGGUUUUAAUUCGAUGAUACGCGAGGAACCUUACCUGGGCUCGAACGUAAGAUGACUGUAGGUGAAAGCUUACAUCUCUUCGGAGCAUUUUACGAGGUGCUGCAUGGUUGUCGUCAGCUCGUGCCGUGAGGUGUCGGGUUAAGUCCCGUAACGAGCGCAACCCUUGUCCUUAGUUACCAGCACGUUAUGGUGGGCACUCUAAGGAGACUGCCGGUGACAAACCGGAGGAAGGUGGGGAUGACGUCAAGUCAUCAUGGCCCUUACGGCCUGGGCUACACACGUGCUACAAUGGUCGGUACAAAGGGUUGCCAAGCCGCGAGGUGGAGCUAAUCCCAUAAAACCGAUCGUAGUCCGGAUCGCAGUCUGCAACUCGACUGCGUGAAGUCGGAAUCGCUAGUAAUCGUGAAUCAGAAUGUCACGGUGAAUACGUUCCCGGGCCUU
rnacentral:rRNA from 1 species